GAUGGGGAGGGACAGGCACAUGGACGCUUGACGCACUGAUUUGUGUUUUGUUAUACGUUCCUGUUUACAUGAGAUCUUUUUUCCAGAAAAAUCAGGUCCCAUCAAGCAGAUAGCGUGGUAACAGUCCUACUGAAGUACAUCUACUGUAGCUACCCUAUAAGUUCAGUUGAAGGUGGAGAUAGUAACGCCACAACGUUGCGUUACUCUGAGGGAGUUAUGAGUCUAGAAGCAUUUCCAAGACAGCGGGACUCCACCAAACUCCAUCUCCUUUCUCUGGAAUUGUUCGCAGCAGGCUUUCCCCCCCCCACUAAACACAAGAGAUUCAGGUCUAUCCCUCAGGCGCAAAGCAGGAUGACAAUAAAUUUUAGACAGAAGCUGAGUCCUUGGAGACUGUGAGAGGUUCUGACAUUAUUACAUGUAUUGACUGUGGGCAGAGAUGAAUGAGGCUGCUUAAAUCAUGGCUAAGGCAAAUUUAUUCUGUGUGUGGCAGAAGAAUACUGCAAGUAGCAUGUUCUAAAUAACGAGGCGGCUACGGCUCUGCAGGGAGCAAAACAAAACAAAAACCUCAAGAGACCACGCAGAUUGCAGAGGAGGAGCGGAACACCAUUACAGCUCUUUUUAGUGUUACUUUGGGAUCUCCCUUCUUCACCAGUCUCCACGGGGCUGGAGGAAUCUGCACCAGGCCAGUGCUUCCCAGCUGUUAGCACUCUCCUGUUGAGGGAGCCUGGGCAUCUGUGCUAUGUCACAUUUCCCUGCUGUUGGCAAGUGCUGCCUCUUUGGUGACCGCGCUUUACCCGGUUGCUUUGUUUUGCCUGUUAAAUCAUCAUUAGCGGCGACUGCCACCUUUUAAAAAGAGUAUUCCAAAAAUGUUCCUUUAGGCCUCUUUCAGCCCAGUGCAAAUAAGCAGCAAAGGUUUUGUGUUAUGUAAAUCUCACUUCAAAGGCCUCAGCACCCAGGAUUUGGAGAACAGCCGGGCACAGACAUGCAUUCCUUCCCAGAGCAGCGUGCAUGCUACAACAGACGCACCUACCAGAUCUGUAUGUGCUACAUCUCCGAAUACCUACCAGAUCUGUAUGUGCUACAGACUCAGCCAGACAUAUGGUUGAAUCCCAAAUGCCAUCAGUUCUCCAAAAUAGAAUCCAGGGCAAGGCAGUGAAGUCUAUAGCAUAUUCUUAUGGCACUUCUCUCAGCUAAAGAGAUCCAGCCCAUGCUUGUUACUGUGACUCAUGUUAUCUGAAUCGUUUUAAAAUGCUACACCAAAACUACAGUUACAGGAAAAAAACCUAGCAGCUUUAUAGACAACUAGACUGUGUUAAAUCUCCUAUCUCUGUACCGCGUCUAAUGUAAAGCCUGACCUUCCAUCUCCUUCCAUCCCAAUCUCGACUCUGUUUAAAAACUCUAGGCAGAAAUGUGAAAAGGAGGUGAAGUAUUCUUGAAGUUCUAUAGCCAAGGUAAAAAGGAUCACCAGGAAACAGUUCAAAUAAGUUGCUGCCAAAAGUCUAUGCUGCAGUGUCGUUCAAUGUUUCUUUGCCAAUAUUGCAGUUAUCUGAUACGGUAAUUUUAGUUAAUGCACUGCCAGGCGCAAGCAGUACAAAAACAUGCAGCUGUAUUUAAGCACCUGCCUGCUAAAGCAACAAAAAUAUGCCUUGCUUGAGGUGUCCAUCAUCACUAAGCCGUUGCUUGAUUUGCAAUUCAGAAUGCAUGUAAGCCAUGUGGGAAUGCUGCUAUAAACCACAUGCCUUGUUAAGCAUCUUUGCUUUCUGGAUGGUUAGUCUGUGGAGCAGGAGUGCGACUGAGUGAGAGUGAGUGAUAUAUUGUAAGGCGUUAGGAACGUGUUAGCUGAACCCUCUGCAUGUCAGCGCAUUUAUGACUGCCAGUUUGGCGGUGCCCCCUGGGGCAUCCGUCCUCGAUACUGUGAGCUGCAGUGAAAGAAAUGGUGACGAGGGUAGAGCAGAGGUGGUCAGAGCAGCAGGCAGGAGACAAGCAUUGUUGUUCAGGGCAGCCCAGCUGACCCCAGGACUGUCCCUGCCUUAGAAGUGGGGUGUGUGUGUGGAAGGGAGGAAGCUAACUGUUAAAUGUGUGAGAAAUCUCCAGAGGAAGAGCAGAGGAAGCCACACAGUGCUGGACUGGAUAAGACAAGGAAGAGGGGGGGCCAGGUUUCUGUCCUCAGCUUAUUUUGAGGAAAUCACCAUAAGCCCUAACUUUCAGAAACAUCCGACCAUCUGCACCUUGAAAUAUCCAUCCUUUUGUAUCUCAGUGCUUCAGGCUCUUUAUCGUUCCUCCUCUCUAUCCCCAGUGCAUGUCACUGUGACUCCGUGAUGCAACUUGUGCCCAUGUAGACAAGGUGGUGAAGGAUAGGCAACACGGCAUGGCAUAAGGAAUGGGAUACCAAAAAACACCUAACCUACUCUGGCUCUGGUAUGGUCUGGGUUUGGUUUGGUUUUUUCUUUUGUCCAGCUGUCCCUUGGCUGGGUUUUGGAAAUAGCUUAAGGGACUGAAAUGCAUUUGUGAUAUAUAAAGACUGGAUUUAUAAAGGGUGCAUAAAUGUGUGAGCAGGGAAUGAACAGCGCACCUCAUUCUUAUUGAAUUGCAGUGGGAAUUAGGCAUCCUAUUAAUCCUCGCUUAUAUUUUUAGGUGUCUCACUACCUUUCUAAGUGUCAGUUCAUAUAGGUCUGUUUGACAAACCCAGCCUAUGCCAUUAGACGCAGUCAGUAGGAUUUUGCUUUGUAGUACUCAGUCUUAACUUUCUCCCCUUGCCUCCCGUCCAAGGAGCUGGCUGUGUUUGCUCUGGCGUCCAAGUUGCAAGUUAAAAGCCCCUUGAAGCUGGUACAAGGGAGCAGGCAGGUGGACCGUGCUGGCCAAGUGACCAGACAUUGCUGCUGCCUUUCUUUUAUUCUGGUUUUCCAUGGCGCCUGCCCGAGAUCAGCAAGCCAAGCUUGACUCACGGGUGGGCUGCCCUGCUAGAGAACAAUGUAGAUGUGCAGCAAGAGAUUAACAAACAAAAGCUUAGGAGUGUCUCGGUUCAAAUUAAGUAACAGAUGGACCUGGUCUGUGUGGGAGCUGAUAACGGUUAUAAAAAGGCCAUCACCAGACUGGGGCCAGCACACCCUGGAAAAAACCCACUCAGUCGUAAAUUCUCUGUGCUGUUAUAGCUGCUUGUGCUAGUAAGGCUUUAUUUUUACCAGCUAUCAUAAAACAGCAUGACUUAUUUUAGAUGCAUGGCUUGUACCGCUCAGUUAAAAGGGUGCCAACUCUCUGAUAGGCACCUACAAACAGAGGAGAUGUGCCCGCCUGGGCAGGAAACAUGAAGCAUAACUAACCUAGAGAAGGCAAAUGCAACGUUACAGAGCAGUGUUUGGUGUUCCACAUGGUUCUGGCUUUUGCUUCUCUCCUCUUUUACAUAGCUAGCUGAUGGCACUCGUUUCUUCUGAAAUGGUGAUAAUAAGAGGAGUCUCUGGUGGUCUCGGCAGGAGCAGGACCCAACAGGACAAAGUUGUGUGGAAGACCAUUGAGUAUUUGUGUCCACCUGAAGAUGGACGGAUGUGUAGGUGUUGCCUUGUGAAGACCACACAGCCCUUUCUGGUUUCCCAAACUUUGGUUUCGUCACGUUGGGAUGCAGCUGCAGACACGCUGCCUCAAAUAUCCAUCUGACAAGGGCCUCUGGAGCCUCGGGUAUUAAAUGGAAUUGUCUAGCUAAUGCGUUGCACAGACCAUGUAGAAAUGAACAUUGCAAGAGGCUGACUGCAGGCACUGAGGGAACAUUCACAUCUGCCCAUGAGCGUGCGACCAAGAGCCUGUGAAACUACUGCCGUCAUUCCACGCUGGAGAGGUGGGGCCGUCUUCUGUAGGGGAGCUUUGAAGCUUUGCAGUGAAUCUGUCAGAACAAAGGAUGCAGAUCUACAAGGGAAAAAGGCAUUCGGCAGAAGGCUGCACGAGCCACGUGCAGGCCCGAAGACAUUUCCUCCAAGGGAAACCAUGGACGCCUUUAUUGUUCAUAAAAGUUGCAACUAAAAUCGGACUGGAUAAAGCUUAAGGAAAUACCUCUCAGGGGACAACCCUGCUUUGGCUGCUGGCAACAAAUGAGGAGCGGCAAGAACUGCAGGACUUUGCAACACCUUCCCUGCCGUUAACUGUCAUCUAGCAAAGAGACACGGAUCCGUGAACAGAAGCCGUACAUGCCUCUGUAAUGCAGGUAAAAGCAGUAACAUCUAUCAAGGCCUUUGUUUUCCAAGGAUAGCAUCCUAGCAAAAUCAAAAUAUUGCCUCCUUGGCUGAUCUUGACCUAAAAGAUCAAGCAGAGCCUUGUACAUUUAUGUGCAGACAAAAUCAUUAAGUCCUCAGCUGUGCAACCGACUCCACUCGAGCAGGCCUGAGAGAGCACGCAGCCACCCCGGAGAGAUGUAAAGUGGCAAGAACCUUUCAACUGGGAAUGAAAAGCAGGACUGCUGUGCAGAGCAGUGCUGGCCCUGUUAAAAGGUGAUUUUUGGCAACUCAACGUGUGUCCCUGGCGCAAAUCCUCAGUGUGUGGACGGAUAAUUGAAGAACAGUUGCAGCGGGCCAAGAGACCCAGAAUUCAACUUGUGCAAGGGAAAUAAACAGGAAAUACUUGGGAGUUUUGGGAAGGGCUCCACAGCUCUGCCCUCCGUCCAGCACGUGAAAUCCUCAAAAUCCAAAUGUUCGUUUCCAUGGGGAAACUUGCAACAGAGGCCCGAAGGGAGCAUCCGAAUGCAGAGUUAGCACCGGGAAGGCCUUGCCAUGCUCCAGGAUUAGGCACUCCCAGUUUCUUCUGCCGAAACCGUUCCUGCUACAAGCCACAGUAAAGCAAGUGAACAACAGACCCUGGAGCGCGUGACAACCACCUCCUCAUCGCAGAUGUGUGUCAGAGUCAUCUUCUCACCCCUCCGCUCACUUUUCUGCUAAAUAGUGCCCAAAUCUCACUUUAUUUGAGGCCCAAGAGGCUCCACACGUUACGUGGAGUUAUUGGAGAAUUGUUUUGUCCUUAGAUAAACUGUUUGAAGCAUUUCAGUACACUUCAGCCUUGAGUUGAC